rnacentral:rRNA from 1 species
AUUGAACGCUGGCGGUAGGCCUAACACAUGCAAGUCGAACGGCAGCACAGUAAGAGCUUGCUCUUACGUGUGGCGAGUGGCGGACGGGUGAGGUAUACAUCGGACUCUACUUUUUCGUGGGGUAUCACGUAGGGAAACUUACUCUAAUACCGCAUACGACCUACGGCUGAAAGCAGGGGAUCUUCGGACCUUGCGCUAUUGAAUGAGCCGAUGUCGGAUUAGCUAGUUGGCGGGGUAAAGGCCCACCAAGGCGACGAUCCGUAGCUGGUCUGAGAGGAUGAUCAGCCACACUGGAACUGAGACACGGUCCAGACUCCUACGGGAGGCAGCAGUGGGGAAUAUUGGACAAUGGGCGCAAGCCUGAUGCAGCCAUACCGCGUGGGUGAAGAAGGCCUUCGGGUUGUAAAGCACCUUUGUUGGGAAAGAAAAGAAGCAGGUUAAUACCCCGCUGUUCUGACGGUACCCAAAGAAGAAGCACCGGCUAACUUCGUG